AGAGUGAACGCUGGCGGCAGGCCUAACACAUGCAAGUCGAACGGCAGCACAAGGGAGCUUGCUCCCUGGGUGGCGAGUGGCGGACGGGUGAGGAAUACGUCGGAAUCUGCCUAUUUGUGGGGGAUAACGUAGGGAAACUUACGCUAAUACCGCAUACGACCCCAUGCCGAGAGGCGCGGGGUGAAAGCGGAGGACCUUCGGGCUUCGCGCAGAUAGAUGAGCCGACGUCGGAUUAGCUUGUUGGCGGGGUAACGGCCCACCAAGGCGACGAUCCGUAGCUGGUCUGAGAGGAUGAUCAGCCACGCUGGAACUGAGACACGGUCCAGACUCCGU
rnacentral:rRNA from 1 species